rnacentral:ncRNA from 1 species
UUAAAGUUUGAUUCUAGCUUAUAAUUUAAUUUAAAGAUUAUUUUACAUGUAAAUUUUUGUAUUAUUGUAUAUUUCUAAAUGAAUAUUAUGGAAAUUCACAGUAUAAGAUUUUAUAUAUUAUUAAUAUUAGAUAUAGUAAUUUUUAUAAGAAUGGACAAAAUUCGUGCCAGCAGUCGCGGUUAUACGAUUCAUUCAAUUUAAAUGUUGAAAUUUCAGUUAUAAUUAUAUUAAUAUUUAAAUCUAUAAAUUUUGGUGAAAUAAUAUUUUUAGAAUGGAUUUAUUUAUUUAUAUCUGAGAAACCUUUGUUUAAACUAGGAUUAGAUACCCUAUUAUUAAAGGUGUAAAACAUAUAUUUAGAUAAUUAAUAGUUAUGUUCUUUAAAUUCAAAGAAUUUGGCGGUAAUUUAUCUUUUCAGAGGAACCUGUUCUGUGAUUGAUAAUCCACGAUAAAUUUUACUUUAAUUUCACUUGUAUAUCUCUGUCAAGAAUGUUCUAUAAGGAAAUUUUCAAUAAUUUUAUUAAUAAAAUGUCAGGUCAAGGUGCAGUUUAUUUUAAAGUAGAAAUGGGUUACAUUUAAAUAUUAUUGAAUUAUUAUUUAAUAUAAUAUUAUGAAAUAGGAUUUGAUAGUAAAUAUAUUAAAUUAAAUUAAUUGAAUAACAGCUCUAGAUUAUGUACACAUCGCCCGUCACUCUCAUUUUAAGAUGAGAUAAGUCGUAACAAAGUAGUUGUACCGGAAGGUGUGGCUAGAAUGG